GGCCAACCCCCAGGAGGGAGUCCCAGGCUUAAUACAGCUGAAGCACAUUGCAGUCACAGUGACCUGCUGCCACGGUUGGCAGUGGAAAGUCCUGCUGGGAGACCGACCCAGCGAGGCAGCCAUGGCACCUGGUGGAAGCCACUUUUCACCUCGUCUCUGCUAACCAGGAAGUAGGAGCCCAGGUCCACUGGGCCUCUGAGACCUAGGAUGGUGGUUCAGGUGGAGAAAAGAGCCAAGAGGAGAGUGAAGGGUUCAAUCCAGGACUCCAGAUGCCAACAGGAUCUAUGUCAUUGACCCUGAGCUGUCACACAAGGAAUGCUGCACUUUGAGUUCCUGAAUCUGUUGCUGAUAAGGGGAAGAAGACUGCCCUGAUCCGCUGAGAUGAAUCAGGCUCCCUCCCUCUCUGGAGCUGACUUCACCACCACCACCACCACCACCCCUAACCCCCAUUGCUGCUACACACAGGAGAGGCAGUGGAAUGGACACAACAGCCUGCAUGCCCCAGGGGAAACCUUCUUGAUGAGACUGGUGUGUCACUUCUGCCGGAAACAUCAGCAUCUUAUCAAAGCAGGAAACGAGACAAGGCAAUGAAUAUCUGAAAUUUUAGAUUUCAAAGGUCUGACUGACUCUAAAGUCAUAUCCUAGAAAUGUUAGACUGAAUUUCCAGAGGCAAGGUGACUUCCCAAAGUCAGUGUAAGGGAAAGAAGGGUCCAGAGUGCAGGUCAGUCCAGGAGGAGUUUUACCUAAAGAACCAUUGUUAGACAUGCAUGGUCCAGAAAGGACAAGUGUAGGGCUGAGGACAAGAGGACUCAGAAAUUGGAUCAAGGCCGAGAAAUGGCAAAAUGAAGACAAGAUGAAAGUGUGAAUGUGAAUCAAGCCUAGAAGGUGGGAGUCAGCCUGAGGGACCAGAAGAUUCUGAAAUUAAAUCAGAAAGACCCGGGCAUGGGAUCUUUGGGAGCAAGCCGAGCAGUAGUAAUAUAUCCUCAGAGGAGCCACUAGGCCAAGACUCAGCCAAUUUGGAGGCAGCAUUUAUAACUACCAGUGGGAAAGGAGAAUGUUCACUUUUGUUUUAAUCAUGAAGGGUGCUUCUUUUUUAUGUAUCACUUUGUAUGAAUAACUCAACAAACUAAAUUAUCUCACAAAGAGGACACCCUCUCCAAAAAGAGUGCUUAACUGAAGCAGAAAUUACGUGGAAAUGCAGUGUAAAAUGGGUUUUGGAGAUCUCUAAUUUACCAAUAUAUUUUGUGAAACUAAGCAUAACUCUUUUCCAAACUCUAUCUUCCACCCUGUCUUGGUGGCAUUUGUUGGUAAUUAUACCCAGGUAAGUCUGCUUUGAAUGUUGCCUAAUCAAACAGCUUUCUAUAUUUGCCACCAUGCCUUACAUUUCAAAUGACAAAAACUCAAACUAGCUCUUGCAAAAAGGGCAACCCUUUACUUCUGGAAGGUCUAGAAUUAUCACUGAUGGAGACACAGCUGGUGUCAGGACUUAAAUUAGGUCUUCAGGAUUCCAUCUCUCUAGACCUCACAGCUUUUGAUCCAGCUUGGCUUUAUUCUUCAACCUGUGUCUCUCCAAGAUGGCCUCUGGUCAUCUUUAUCGCCAGUAGCAUCCUCUCUGUUUAGCCACUCCGGCAGGAAACGAUUAAUUCCAACUGAGACAUUUUAGGGGAGGCAGUCAGUGGUUGGGUCAAACUGGUCCAUGUGACAAUCUCCGAACCAAUCACUCUUCAGUUCAGUUCAGUUCAGUCGCUCAGUCUUGUCUGACUCUUUGCAAUCGCUAGAGCUGUACCAAGAAGAUACUCUUGAGUGUUGUGCCCAGCUCCUGCGGUGAGAGAAGGGCACCAGCCCCACCAAGUUCACAUGCAAUGGGCAUGUCAGCACCCAGAGGAAACCAAAGGGCUGUGAUCAGAAGGACACUGGAACAG